rnacentral:tRNA from 2 species
GGCCCCAUCGUCUAGGGGUGAGGACGCCGGAUUCUCAUUCCGGUAACAGGGGUUCGAUUCCCCUUGGGGCUACCA